UACUUGAUCCUUCGGGUGAGGGUGGCGGACGGGCGAGUAACGCGUAAAGAACUUGCCUUACAGACUGGGACAACAUUUGGAAACGAAUGCUAAUACCGGAUAUUAUGACUGAGUCGCAUGAUUUGGUUAUGAAAGCUAUAUGCGCUGUGAGAGAGCUUUGCGUCCCAUUAGUUAGUUGGUGAGGUAACGGCUCACCAAGACGAUGAUGGGUAGCCGGCCUGAGAGGGUGAACGGCCACAAGGGGACUGAGACACGGCCCUUACUCCUACGGGAGGCAGCAGUGGGGAAUAUUGGACAAUGGACCAAAAGUCUGAUCCAGCAAUUCUGUGUGCACGAUGAAGUUUUUCGGAAUGUAAAGUGCUUUCAGUUGGGAAGAAGUCAGUGACGGUACCAACAGAAGAAGCGACGGCUAAAUACGUGCCAGCAGCCGCGGUAAUACGUAUGUCGCAAGCGUUAUCCGGAUUUAUUGGGCGUAAAGCGCGUCUAGGCGGUUUAGUAAGUCUGAUGUGAAAAUGUGGGGCUCAACCCCGUAUUGCGUUGGAAACUGCUAAACUAGAGUACUGGAGAGGUAGGCGGAACUACAAGUGUAGAGGUGAAAUUCGUAGAUAUUUGUAGGAAUGCCGAUGGGGAAGCCAGCCUACUGGACAGAUACUGACGCUAAAGCGCGAAAGCGUGGGUAGCAAACAGGAUUAGAUACCCUGGUAGUCCACGCCGUAAACGAUGAUUACUAGGUGUUGGGGGUCGAACCUCAGCGCCCAAGCUAACGCGAUAAGUAAUCCGCCUGGAGAGUACGGACGCAAGUAGU
rnacentral:rRNA from 1 species